rnacentral:rRNA from 1 species
GGGAUAAACGCUGGCGGCGUGCCUAACACAUGCAAGUCGAACGCGCUUGCUAUCCGCGAGGAGGGUGAGCGAGUGGCGGACGGGUGAGGAACACGUGGGUGACCUACCUUUCAGUGAGGGAUACCGGCGAGAAAUUGCCGACAAGACCGCAUACGCUUCUCUUUUCAAGGGGAGAAGGAAAGCUUUUCGCAAGAGAGGCGCUGGGAGAUGGGCCUGCGGCCGAUUAGCUAGCUGGUGGGGUAAUGGCCUACCAGGGCGACGAUCGGUAGCUGGUCUGAGAGGACGAUCAGCCACACUGGGAUUGAGAACGGCCCAGACUCCUACGGGGGGCAGCAGUGAGGAAUUUUCCGCAAUGGGCGCAAGCCUGACGGAGCAACGCCGCGUGCAGGAAGACGGUUUUCGGAUCGUAAACUGCUUUUCUCGGGGACGAGGAACGGACGGUACCCGAGGAAUCAGCCCCGGCUAACUACGUGCCAGCAGCCGC